ensembl:lncRNA
GUGAUGUGACAGCACAGUGGAACUCUGGUGUACGACUGGCUCACAACAACAUCCUUUCAUGUGCAUCAAUAUCACUGACUCAUCUCCCACCAUUAUCUUCUUACUAACAGGUGGACAAAGGAGUACAGUCCCAAGGAAAGGGGGAGGAUGGCACCUGGGUGGGAUGAAAACAGGUGUCCUUGUGGAUGUAACUGGAGAAGUAGAAUACCUAAGGAAGAGUUGGGGUGGAGAAAAGAGAAAUGCCAACCUAGGACACUGCCAUAGAUGACCAGAUAGAGGCCCCUCACAGAUGCUCAAACCAUGCUCUGGAACCGCAGUCAAAAGUCUACAGUAAAUGAUUCUCCCUCUGCUGUGUCCUGUAAGCUGCAGAUUCUUCACUCCUGUGUAUUAACUAGGCUAUCAGCAACGCUCCAUCUUCCCCAGCCCCACCCCAGUGCCACAGCACCUGCAAGAAAACCGUAACAUAAUCUUGCUUAAGGAGAAUAAAUAAAAAGCUCUCCAUCUAUAAACCACUUGGAAAGCUGGCAGGGCAGAGCAUACUCAAAUCAAAAAUGAAAAUUUACAUACUCUCUCAGAGGUGGCAGGGAUCUAUUACAGCCCGCCAGUGUCCUACGCUGUCAGAUAUAACUUUUUCUCAGUACCACAUAGCCACUACGUGAUUCAGGAGCUCAAACCAGUGCCCAGGCCACUGUUGCUCUUCAGCGUUGUGAGGACAGCCUUCCCAGGCCCAGCUGAUGGAGUUACAGGAACCUGGAGUUGAGGCAUGCUUCAUUCACCGGGAGGGAGUCAGUGGGGUCCACCCAUGAUGGUGGUGAAGUGGGCGGCCAAGGAGGAGAAUAGCGAGCUCAGCAAUAAAGAGGGCCCAGUUAUUUUUAAGAAAAAUACUUAUGUAGAUGCCUGAAAAUGUUUUCAAAAGAAGGGACCUAAAAGUAUUGUGUGAUUCUUUUUUCUCUCACAUCCCUGUCUUGGCAAGAUGUACACUCAGAAGAAACAGGUUUAUGAAAGUAGACACUCAGCCCCAGUGAAAGCCGAAUGCUGGGGCUGCUAAAGCCAGCGUUCCGAGCCUGCGUGUUACCCCACUGCUUUUUUCCAAGAGUCAGGACCACCCAGAUGUUGUGGGUUCUGUUUGACAGGACUUGAUAAUCUCUUGAGGUGCUUUGCUGAAAAGAUUUUGUCCUCCUGCCUGUGUCUUUUUUCUUCUCCCCCUUCAAGCUGAGGCGGGCUCUGGAUCUCUGCUUCAGGGGACGGAUGUGUCCUGGGCAGAGAGAGCUGAGCCUCAGAGGUUUCCUGGCUUUUCUGCCCACAACCCUGAGCCCCUGGGGGAUUUCUCAAGGCUGGUGAAGGAGGUAAAGGGAGAGAAAUUCUGUGG